rnacentral:rRNA from 1 species
UUGACCUCGGAUCAGGUAGGAAUACCCGCUGAACUUAAGCAUAUCAAUAAGCGGAGGAAAAGAAACCAACAGGGAUUGCCUUAGUAACGGCGAGUGAAGCGGCAACAGCUCAAAUUUGAAAUCUGGCCCUCGGGUCCGAAUUGUAAUUUGUAGAGGAUGAUUUUGGUGCGGUAUCUUCCGAGUUCCUUGGAACAGGACGCCUUAGAGGGUGAGAGCCCCGUACGGUUGAAUGCCUAGCCUCUGUAAAUCUCCUUCGACGAGUCGAGUAGUUUGGGAAUGCUGCUCUAAAUGGGAGGUAAAUUUCUUCUAAAGCUAAAUAUUGGCCAGAGACCGAUAGCGCACAAGUAGAGUGAUCGAAAGAUGAAAAGCACUUUGAAAAGAGGGUUAAAUAGCACGUGAAAUUGUUGAAAGGGAAGGAUUUGUGACCAGACUUUUUCUGGGCGGAUCAUCCGGGGUUCUCUCCGGUGCACUUUGCCCAGUAAAGGCCAGCAUCGA